UACGUAGGGGGCUAGCGUUGUCCGGAAUCAUUGGGCGUAAAGAGCGUGUAGGCGGCCCGGUAAGUCCGCUGUGAAAGUCGGGGGCUCAACCCUCGAAUGCCGGUGGAUACUGUCGGGCUAGAGUGCGGAAGAGGCGAGUGGAAUUCCUGGUGUAGCGGUGAAAUGCGCAGAUAUCGGGAGGAACACCGGUGGCGAAGGCGGUUCUCUGGGCCUGACCUGACGCUGAGGAGCGAAAGCGUGGGGAGCGAACAGG
rnacentral:rRNA from 1 species